GCCCUUGUGGAGACAGUUGAGAUCACGGUCUCUGGUGAGGUUUACUGCUUCCGCUUAUUUUCUUGGGUGAAUCAUUCUACGUGUUAGAGGUUACACAGAAAAAAAUUUUCACGCUCCAGGUGUGAGCUUAGCUAAAUUUGAGCUAGGUAAUGAUUUUGUUAAAUUCUGAUUGGGUCAAGGUGCUUUACUCGUGAAAGAGCCCAGGUACUUAAAAUGAACAGGAAGGCAGGUGGCAUUUGGAGGCCACAAUAGCCAAUGAAGAGGAGAUAAAAAUAUCUAGUAAACGAGGUUUCAAAGGACUGUGCCUUUAGUGCAGGAAAAAGGUAAGAAAGGAGUGCUUGGUGUCGGGCUGGCGGGAGGAGCUUGUUCUUGAAUGGCCAAGGCUCGGUCCUUGGAAGGCCAGUCCCUCCUGAAACGCGCUGCCAGCCCUCGGACACAACCGCUGGGCUUUGAGACUGGAAAUGUCUCUAUUUCACAAGACUCUUGUCCUCAGGAAGCUCUGCUCACAGCUACAGCAUCCAAAUUGUAACUGCCACGUUCUUGGCACUCCUGUCCAAAUCCUGUCUUGGCUCCAGUAUACCCAGCUUUCUGAAGAUUUGCACUCAGGGUUGGCGCUACUGAGGGACCUGAAAGCCCACAGCCUCACCAGGGAGGGAGUCCUGCCCCCGUCAAACUCCUGCCCGUCUCCUCACCCUUCUGCCACGAAGAGUCCGGGUCUCAGGUACAGACAGACAGCCCGAGGAGCGCUGCUACAAGGAAUGGACCUAACGGAGCGAGUGGACGCUCGUGGGGCGAGGCCCGGAGUGCCUGCAGCUGCUGUUCAGAUGCAGCUGUGGAGGAUCCGGGGUGGGUCCUGAGUCUGCUCCCCUGUGCCCUCCCUGCUGCCCAGAAGCCCAGUGCUUACAGCUGCCGCUCUCGUCAACUCAAGUCCCAGAAACACAUUCCUCGCUGCCUACGUGUUAAACGCUGAAGCAGGACUCACUCCUGGGAGGGGAGGACCGCGUGCUCGUCCACAGGUGUCAGGCGUGACAUCCUAUGACGACAUCGGCGAGGACCACGGCAGGUGCAUCCCCUCUUCACACGUGAUGAGGGCAUCACCAUGCAGACGAUCUGACUGCACGUGAAAGAAAAAACCAGCCACCAGAGCUUCAGAAAAGUUUUUAGCAAAUGUUUCCGUCCAUUUAUUUUCUGUACUCCUUAAAAACAAACAUCAUGUUUCAUACUGAAGCUCUGAAAUACUGUAUGCCCGAGAGGCACCUCCCACUCAUGCUGCAAGCUGGUCCACGUCCUCUCUGCUUCUGUUCGCCAGGUGAGCUUCAAUAAUUUCUGCAAAGAGAUUCCUCUUCAACAGAUUAUACGCAAGAGGUAAAAGCUGGCCAGCGACUUUAUGAAAAUACUGAAAAACAAAAGAAGAUGACAUUAGCCAGAGGACGCAGCAGGUAAUACAGUGGAAAAAGCAGUUGUUUGUUAACGAAGCCCACUCCCCGCACACUGGGUUUCAGCCAGCGUCUGCAUGACAACAGUGAGUUCUGAGACAGCGCCUGGCGACGUCCCUGGGGCAGUCGUGCAGCUCUUCAGGACGAAGGGCACUUCUUGAAGGAAACUCAGAAGAAAACCAAGUAAAAACUGUAAGCGUCCUUAUUCCCUCAGAUACGGUUUAUUCACCCCCUUUUGCCCCCAGUACGCUCAAAUGCCUUUUCCUUCUCGUCGGCGUGUCCCCACCACAUAAGACUUCAAUCAUCAUUUCCGUUAGCUGGCGCCGUUGGAACAAGGAGCUGAACGUGAGUUUUCACAUCGCACUGAAGGCUCCCUCGUGUCUUCAGUUCCUUCUCGCCCCAUGUCAGCCUCCACCCCUGAAGUCGCUGCCUCUGUCAAGGGCCCAGACGCGCUCCGAGGACAAGGGAGGGCAGCCACCGUUGGCGCCUGCUGCCUGCUUCACCGUCCCUUCUCCGAUGCUGCUGGAUCCUCAAGACAACCGAGUUUCUGUGAAGCUGCUCAAGCACUAUUCUGAUCGGUCACUGACCCUCUCUGGCUGUUAACCACUCUGAUUAUUUUUACUGCUAACAAACAGCCCUACACGAGAAAGACAGAGUCCCCAAAACAGACUCCCCCACAGUGGCGUCAGCCUGACCCAGUAACUGUCGAUCAGAAACGCAAAUAGGCCCCAGCGGGAAGGGAACUCGGUGAGGCCCAGGGGGACUGGGGGGUCGGGGGCGCGCCAGCCUGUGCGGAACAAGCCCCCGGGGCACCCUGACGCUCCAGCCCCGCGGCGUCCCCAGGUGACCCUGCACUUCGCAGCCUGCGCAGUCACCUUCUGGGGUAGAGGCUGACGCGGGAGCUGCCUGCCUGUGUGGCCCUGAGCACCUGGGGCUCUUUCUGUGCCGCAGGUGACAUGGUAGGUGAAGGGAGAAUUAGGUGGUCUCCACAGCGGGCAGAUGGCCUGGGAGGGCCCCAGGUGGCGCGGAGGUGCAGGGAGUACGGCCCACGCUCACACGGCUACUCCCGGGGAGACGGGACUCAGGCCGGGGCCACCACUCCUCCCGCCUGCCCGACCCCCAGCCGUGGCUCAGCGGCCUCCUGCAGCUGCCUUGUACGUUUCUCCUACGUGAUGAGCAGGGAGUUCAUGGUAAAACAGCACCUCCUCUAUGGUAAAGAAUUUCCAGCAUAUUUACAGACAGCAUUUACUCUUCAUCCCGGAAUUCAAGCACAAGAACAAACCCCCCACGGAAAAUGAGGCGGAGCCGGGAAGGUGUGUCCACACCCUAGCGAAGGGCACAGCCGUACUAGUAAGUAGCUAGGAAGUCACUUGGGCACAACAUCCGGGUCAUUCACCUCGGCCAGAGUACAAGGUGAACUUCAAAUAAAAAAUAUGCUCACUUUAUCUGCUUAAAAAUCAUUUCAAAAUGUUCAUUUUGAAAUUCAAGCUGAAUCCAUACCCUGCGUGCUGGACUUGCGGACAGCAAUG